UACAGAGGCCUCGAGCGUUAAUCGGAAUCACUGGGCUUAAAGGGUGCGUAGGCGGCGCUGCAAGUGCCUUGUGAAAUCCCAUCGCUUAACGAUGGAACUGCUCGGUAGACUGCAGUGCUUGAGGUUGGUAGGGGCUGCCGGAACUCUAGGUGGAGCGGUGAAAUGCGUAGAUAUCUAGAGGAACGCCCAAGGCGAAGGCAGGCAGCUGGCCAAGCUACUGACGCUGAGGCACGAAAGCGUGGGGAGCAAACGGG
rnacentral:rRNA from 1 species